UAUUCCACAUACGGUUAAAACGAGGCCGGCAGAAGUGUGCUUCAUUUCCGAACUUGACCCCUUAACCUGCACCUCAAGCUCAUUUUUAUUGCUACCCACUGAGCCCUGCUCUCCACGCACCGGUUGCACCAGCCCUGCCGACCCGUACGUUCGCGGUCUCCGCUGGGAUGGCUGGAAAGGAAGCGAGAAAGUCACGGAAGAACUUACCUGAAACGAUCCCAUUCGACAGGAACCCCAGCUGGUAAAGGAGGCAGCAGCAGCAGAUGAGUUUCCGAGGCCGAGCAGGCUAGUGCUGGAGCCCCACAAGACAGACCCACAGCCAGCCGAGAGCCGGGAGUGCUGCCUCUGGACAGGCAGAGGACUGCCUGGCGCGGGCAGGAGAGCUGUGGUGUCCGAGCCGAGGCUCGCCGCCUGCACCCGCGCGGAACGGGCGGAGGCUGGUGUCACAGUCUCAGCAACUUGGUGUGCCAAGCUCCGCACACUCCUCACGCUCCUUGGGACGCAACGCUGAAGGCUUUCACCCGCAGCGGCGCGGGAGGGAAUGAGUAGGGAGAUGGGACGACACGACUAGAGAGGUGGGUUGUAGAGCAGAAAAGAAUCAAGCACAUCUGACCAGAAAAAGGGACCAAGGGGUGCCCGCCAAGCGUGACUUUGCGGGACAAAGGUCCCAGAACACCGUGCACGUGCUCAAACGCCGGUUGGGAUGGGGUGGGGACCCAAAAUCCCUCACCUGACUAUUGAUUGGCCACUCGGGAAGGCCUGAUUUGCAUCCAUCCCCUGCCCCCG
rnacentral:antisense_RNA from 1 species